CCCUUAGAUGUCCGGGGCCGCGCGCGCGCUACACUGAAGGAAUCAGCGUGGCUUUCUCCCUGACCCGAAAGGGUUGGGAAACCCGUUGAAUCUCCUUCGUGAUAGGGAUUGGGGCUUGAAAUUGUUCCCCAUGAACGAGGAAUUCCCAGUAAGCGCGAGUCAUAAGCUCGCGUUGAUUACGUCCCUGCCCUUUGUACACACCGCCCGUCGCUACUACCGAUUGAACGGUUUAGUGAGGGCCUCGGAUUGGUCUCGGCCCGCUCUUUACCGGGCGGCGCCGUUGGUCGAGAAGACGCUCGAACUUGAUCGUUUAGAGGAAGUAAAAGUCGUAACA
rnacentral:rRNA from 1 species